UUCGCAAUGCCCGAAAGGGUGACGAAGCGACGCCGCGUGGGUGAGGAAGGCCUUCGGGUUGUAAAGCCCUGUCAGGAGUUAAGAAAUGUAAGUGCGCUAAUAUCGCAUUUAUUUGACGAAGGCUCCAGAGGAAGUCACGGCUAACUCUGUGCCAGCAGCCGCGGUAAUACAGAGGUGGCAAGCGUUGUUCGGAAUUAUUGGGCGUAAAGAGCACGUAGGUGGGUUUGUAAGUCAGAUGUGAAAGCCUUCUGUUCAACGGAAGAAUUGCAUCUGAAACUGCGAGUCUUGAGUGUAGGAGGGGAGAAUGGAACUUCUGGUGGAGCGGUGAAAUGCGUAGAUAUCAGAAGGAACGCCGGCGGCGAAAGCGAUUCUCUGGCCUAUUACUGACACUCAGUGUGCGAAAGCUAGGGGAGCAAACGGGAUUAGAUACCCCGGUAGUCCUAGCCGUAAACGAUGGGCACUAAGUAGAGGGGUUUU
rnacentral:rRNA from 1 species